GAUUGGCUGCCCCUCCGCAUCCAUAAUGUAAUUAAAACAAGGGGGGAAAAAUUAUCAUGGAGGCAGAGGUUAAUGCAAGUGUUUAGCAGAUGCCUUACUGUAAAUUCUGCAUUAAAAAAACCCCCAAAAACCAAACAACCAAAAAACCGACAAACUCAUUAAAACUUAAAUAUCGGACAAUCUCAAACCAGCUUGCUGCCUGCGCCUACGCACCUCGACCAGUAUUCACCCGACUCACUUAUGCUCCUGAAAUCAGUUUCAUGCUUGUUUAACUGGUCUGAUCGGUAUAAGUAUGUGUGUGUAUAUAUAUACAUAUACACGUUCAACAAAAACGCAGACGGUGAUGUAUGUGCAGAAGAUGGUGCGAUGGCCGGGGAGAGGAGCGAGUGGACAUGCCCUAGGUUCAAGGAAAUUCUGCCCAGAAGAAAUUCUUACUAAAGCCUCAUGGAAAGUUAAAGGCCCCUGCCCUACAAUUAAAAGGGGAAGCAAGAAAGAAAAGAGGAGAAAGCAGGGAGAAGAGUUACUUGGCUACGAGGGAGAAGAGUGAAGGAAGCUCUAAGAAGCUCAAAGGUUUGAGAAGAAAAAUUUGGUCCCAUGUGUUGAAGGUAGCAGAGAUUUCAGUAAAAAGGAGUGGGAUCUGAUGAAGGAAAGGUUGUUAGUCACUUUAAUGAGAGCAGUAGAGAGGACAGAAGCUAGAUCAACAUACUAUCAAUGUUAAUGCCUAGUGCAAGUUUAAUGGCCCUGCAGGAAUACAUUUCUUCUCUGUAGAUUUUUUCUUUGGACACAGCCCAAAGGUGAGAUCAACUCCUCAUACCAUAAAAGGGUAAACCCUUCACUGGAUGAUUAGUUUUACACCCACCCCCUCAAAAAAGAAAAAAAAAGAAAAUUAAAAAAGAAAGAAAAUAAGGAAAAGUCUGUGGUUUCAGAGGAAUGAAUUAUAUGCUUUAAUGGUAUUGGAAGUAAAGCAGCAGCCUUUCCAUUAUACUUAAAUAAGGAAAUAAAACAACAACAAAAAAGGCAAUGUCAACCUUCCCUGACGAAUAGUACAGGUUAGGAGUUUUCCACUUCUGGUUAAUUUUUUUCUAAGCUAAUUGCAUGUGUUAUGCUUAUGUGCCCAAUUUAUUGGUGUGAAUCUCCCCGUUGAAAAAUUCAUGACUUGUAUGAGCGCAAUAGGUGUUUGUAUUUCUCAGUUUGGCCCCACAGCUCUGUAUGCGCACAGUUGCCAAGGCUCACUUUACAAAUCUAGCAUGCUAGCUGCCAGCCAGCUUCUACAGUUUUUCUGCAGUGUCAGUGGCACCUCCUAGCAAAAAUUGUCAGCAGGAAAAAUAACGGUGCUAUCAGCUAGCUAUACCGUUCCCUACGAAACAAUGGCAACAAAUGUCAUGAGUAGAGGAGUGGGAAUAUAUUUAUGGUUUAUUUUGGAUAAACCCACUUGUUUCUUCAAAUGAAUGUGUAUUGCUGUAAAAUCUCUGUGAAGAGGUGUUAGAAGAGUGAACUGAAAGCACAGCAAAUAGGAAAUCUGCUGGGCCAUGUAGACUCUCUUUCACAUACGCUCUUUUAAGAGUUCUGCUUGCACAUACUUCAUCAUCAGGAUUUGUGCUAAGGAUGUAUACUCUUUAAAGACUAGUUGCUCUUGAAGGCAUAAAGUCUCUCUUAAAAUCUAUUAGUUUUGUUUGUGCUGAAAGCAUAUAGUUGCCAUUCAGGUACAAUGCUCCAUUUGUAUAGCUUUCAGCAAAUGUGCUGUCACAUAGUUAGCAUAAUGAUUAAGGGCACUUUGAGAAGCUUACCACCUUUGCUUGUAGAGAGAGGGUACCUUGACCUAUAAAAACCCUAAGUGGUACACUUAAUAAAUUUAUCAUUUUGCUAGA